GCUGGAGAAAGGCUGAGAAAGAAAAGCAACAGCUUGGCAGUAAAAGGAUUAACUUCAAGCUGUGCCACAAGCCUCUGUUUAUGCUCAAAACCCUGGAGUGAACCUGUUGACUCCACCACUCACAAGAUGCUGAGCCAGUUAUAAAAGAAAGGAACAUAUAUGGACAGAGUCAGUGGCAACUGGAGAACACGAGGAGAGCAGGAUACUGGGAGAACUCCAUGAUCUUUGUCAAGUAUUUCCACCUGAUCCACCUGAACCAGCAGAAGAAGGAGGCUUUUCUGAAGUGACGCUUAAUUAGCAAUGAAGAUGAAAAUAUACAGGAGAAAGUAAUGAAAUUUAAAUAUCUAAAUUUGAGGCUGAUUUUACAUAACAGAUGGGAUCUUGUUGGAAAAAUUAUGGCAUGUUAAUUCUUAUACCAUAGUUUACAUAUAAAUCCAGG